rnacentral:rRNA from 1 species
UGGGGAAUAUUGGACAAUGGGCGCAAGCCUGAUCCAGCAAUGCCGCGUGUGUGAAGAAGGCCUAAGGGUUGUAAAGCACUUUCGUUAGGGAGGAAGUUUAUUAGGUUAAGAGCUAAAUAAAUUGACGUUACCUAAAAAAGAAGCACCGGCUAACUCUGUGCCAGCAGCCGCGGUAAUACAGAGGGUGCGAGCGUUAAUCGGAAUUACUGGGCGUAAAGAGUGCGUAGGCGGAAAUAUAAGUCAGAUGUGAAAUCCCUGGGCUCAACCUAGGAAUGGCAUUUGAAACUGUAUCUCUAGAGCAGAAAAGAGGAGAGUAGAAUUUCAGGUGUAGCGGUGAAAUGCGUAGAUAUCUGAAGGAAUACCGGUGGCGAAGGCGGCUCUCUGGUUUCAUGCUGACGCUGAGGCACGAAAGCGUGGGGAGCGAACAGG